AAUGAAUAAUGAUAUGACUGAGUGGCGGACGGGUGAGUAACGCGUGAGCAACCUGCCCUUCGGAGGGGGAUAGCGUCUGGAAACGGCUGGUAAUACCGCAUAAGCGCACAAUGUUGCAUGACAUGGUGUGAAAAACUCUAGUGGUAUAAGAUGGACCCGCGUCUGAUUAGCUAGUUGGUGAGGUAACGGCCCACCAAGGCGACGAUCAGUAGCCGGCCUGAGAGGGUGAACGGCCACAUUGGGACUGAGACACGGCCCAAACUCC
rnacentral:rRNA from 1 species